GCUUGAGAAGCGGCGUGCUUACUACCAGCUAGUUGGUAAGGUAACGGCUUACCAAGGCUAUGACGGUUACCGGCUCUUAGCGGAGGGUCCGGCACAAUGGGACUGAGACACGGCCCAUACACCUACGGGUGGCAGCAGUUAGGAAUUUUGCGCAAUGGACGAAAGUCUGACGCAGCGACACCGCGUGGAGGAUGAAGGCCUUCGGGCUGUAAACUCCUUUUGAUCCGUCGUGAAGAUGGAUAGAAUAAGCAGCUACUAACUACGUGCCAGCAGUCGCGGUAAUACGUAGGCUGCAAGCGUUACCCGGAUUUACUGGGCGUAAAGCGUCUGUAGGUGGUUUGAAAAGUCCUGUCUCAAAGACCCGACUCAAUCGGGGAAAGGGGCAAGAUACUGUCAAGCUAGAGUUAUUGAGGUGCUACUGGAAUUUGUAGUGUAGGGGUAAAAUCCGUGGAUACUACAAAGAACACCGAUGGCGAAGGCAGGUAGCAAGCAAUAUACUGACACUGAGAGACUAAAGCUAGGGUAGCAAAUCAGAUUAGAGACCUGAGUAGUCCUAGCCCUAAACGUUGCCUGUUAGUCCCGAGAUUAUUUUCGGGAUGUAAGCUAACGCGUUAAACAGGCCGCCUGGGGAGUAUAGCCGCAAGGCCGAAACUCAAACGAAUUGGCGGGGAGGCGCACAACCAGUGGAGCAUGUGGUUCAAUUCGAUACGAAGCGAUAAACCUUACCUGGGUUUGAACUGUACCUGCAUCCCGGCAGAGACGUCGGGGGUCCUUCGAGGGUGGUACAGAGGUGUUGCAUGGCUAUCGUCAGCUCGUGACGUGAGUUGUUCUCUUAAGUGAGGUAACGAGCGCAACCCCUAUUUUGUGUUAUUUUUCACAAGAGACUGCCUAGCAUUAUUUUUGUUAGGAGGAAGGAAGGGACGACGUUAAGUCAGCAUGAUCCUUAUGUCCAGGGCUACACACAUCCUACAAUGCACACUACAACGGGUUGCCAAGCCGCAAGGCGGAGCUAAUCCUUCAAAAGUGUACUCAGUGGGGAUUGCAGGCUGAAACCUGCCUGCAUGAACUUGGAAUUGGUAGUAAUCGCAAAUCAGCAGAUUGCGGUGAGUACGUUCUCGCCUCUUGCACACACUGCCCGUCAAAUCAACAAAGUUGGGGGUACCCAAAGUCUCACUUCGGUAGGACCAAGGUAAAUCCAGCGAUGAGGGUUAAGUCGUAACAAGGUA
rnacentral:rRNA from 1 species